rnacentral:lncRNA from 10 species
CUCUGGGGAAAACAACGCCCAGAUCCCACCCUCCUUGGCCAAGGUUGAAGAGGGCCCGCUCUCGGGAGUGGGGCUUCCCUGAGUGGGCCUCACAGAGCUGAGGAACUGGGAAAAGAGCAAGGAAUAAGGGUGGGGCUCAAGAAAGGGGGCCGGGGUACGGGCAAUGACCGAGACCGGAGGAAGAAAGGGAUGGACAAGAGGCUGGGCGGGGUGAGGUCUGGGGAGGGAGGGCAGAUCGACCGGAGAUGGCCGGACUGCGGGGAACGGAGCCGGGGAGUCGAGGAUUGAAGAACCCGGGGAACAGGGAACACCAGCUUGAAUUUCCUCAGCGGAUUCCCGAAGUCUCCGCCCGUGGACAUUGUGGAACUAGAGGAGCGGCCGCCGCCUCAGCCUAGAGACCUCCCGGACCGAUGCUGCUCCAGCCAGCUGACGAAAAAGGCGAGCGGAAGGGCGGCCGCCGCCGCCUCCCGGCAGAGUAGCCUAGCACCGAGCGAGGCCCGCGGCUGGGAAGGGAAGGAGGGCGGUGUCGGCAGGAGCCAGGGGUGUCCUCUGGCUUCCCAAAGCUAGGGCCGUUCCCUCCUUCCGCACUCGGCUCCCAGACCUGGGGAAGAGAAGCUGAGGGUGGCGGAGCCGGAACCGCAGACGUAUCUGGGACCUCUCACGCGCAGCGCCUGAGCUUCCACAGCUGCCGCCGCCGCCGCAGCCCAACCUGCUGAGUGCGCGAGCCUCUGGAGCGGCGCGGGGCGAGCCCGGGCGCGAGCCUGCGGCCCCGCCGGCCGCUGGCGUGCGUGCGUGCGUGCAUGCGUGCGCGCCACCGCCAUCGCCAUCGCCUUCCUGGUUUGGACAGCUCUACCGGCUCCUCCCGCACGGCGGCGACGGGGCAG